AGCAGCCGCGGUAAUUCCAGCUCCAAUAGCGUAUAUUAAAGUUGUUGCAGUUAAAAAGCUCGUAGUUGAACUUCGGGGUCUACCCAUUGGUCAGGCUUAAUUGUCUGCACUGGUGAGAUGGAUCUCUACCUUCUGAGGAACUUUCAUGCCAUUUAUUUGGUGUGGUUGGAAAUCAGGACUAUUACUUUGAAAAAUUAGAGUGUUUAAAGCAGACUAUCGUCUGAAUACAUUAGCAUGGAAUAAUGAAAUAGGACGGACUGAUUCUAUUUCGUUGGUUUCUAGGAUCACCGUAAUGAUUAAUAGGGAUAGUUGGGGGCAUUAGUAUUCAAUUGUCAGAGGUGAAAUUCUUGGAUUUAUUGAAGACUAACUACUGCGAAAGCAUUUGCCAAGGAUGUUUUCAUUAAUCAAGAACGAAAGUUAGGGGAUCGAAGACGAUCAGAUACCGUCGUAGUCUUAACCAUAAACUAUGCCGACUAGGGAUCGGACGAAGUUAAUUUUAUAAUGACGCG
rnacentral:rRNA from 1 species